UCGGAUAUGGUGUAACGGCUAACAUUGCCGCCUCUCAUUUAAAUUCGCGGCAGCUCGGGGUUCGAUUCCCCGUAUCCGAA